rnacentral:rRNA from 1 species
AUUGAACGCUAGCGGGAUGCUUUACACAUGCAAGUCGAACGAGUGGCGGACGGGUGAGUAAUAUAUCGGAACGUGCCCAGUAGCGGGGGAUAACUACUCGAAAGUGUGGCUAAUACCGUAUACUAUUGGGACGGCCGAUAGCGGAUUAGCUAGUUGGUGGGGUAAAGGCUCACCAAGGCAACGAUCUGUAGCUGGUGUGAGAGGACGACCAGCCACACUGGGACUGAGACACGGCCCAGACUCCUACGGGAGGCAGCAGUGGGGAAUUUUGGACAAUGGGGGAAACCCUGAUCCAGCCAUGCCGCGUGUAUGAGAAGGCCGUCGGGUUGUAAAGUACUUUUGGCAGAGAAGCGGUAUCGGCAGAAUAAGCACCGGCUAACUACGUGCCAGCCGCCGCGGUAAUAC